GGUCUCAUCGUCUAACGGUUUAGGACACCAGGUUCUCAUCCUGGAAAUCGGGGUUCGAUUCCCCGUGGGAUCA
rnacentral:tRNA from 1 species